CCUCUCCAAAAUUGCAAAGAAAUAAGUUAAAUGUCAAUAUUCAUUCUUAUUAGUUCACAUAUCAAACACAAUUUUAUGCUUUUUCAUUAAUUGAGAAGAAACCUACUUUUUUUAACUCACAUUUAUGGAAUAGAAAAACGUUUGCGCUUACAAUUAACAGACAAAAACUUGUUUGAAACAGCGGUCAUGGUCUCAUAUGAAAAAAAACAUGUAAACAAAAGCCCUAAAAAAUAUGUAUCUCCUUGUUUCCUAAUAAUCAUGUUAACUAGUAGCCUAAGGAUUAGUAGUAGUACUAUAAUCAUUUGAAAAGACUAGAUAUUUCCCUUACCCAUCAUAAGUCAUGUAAAUGUG